rnacentral:rRNA from 1 species
GCAUAUCAAUAAGCGGAGGAAAAGAAACCAACAGGGAUUGCCUCAGUAACGGCGAGUGAAGCGGCAACAGCUCAAAUUUGAAAGCUGCCAUCCGGCCGCGUUGUAAUUUGUAGAAGCUGCUUUGGGUGUCGGCCCGGUCUAAGUUCCUUGGAACAGGACGUCACAGAGGGUGAGAAUCCCGUACGUGAUCGGUGCCGUUGCCCGUGUAAAGCGCUUUCGACGAGUCGAGUUGUUUGGGAAUGCAGCUCAAAAUGGGUGGUAAAUUUCAUCUAAAGCUAAAUAUUGGCCAGAGACCGAUAGCGCACAAGUAGAGUGAUCGAAAGAUGAAAAGCACUUUGGAAAGAGAGUUAAACAGUACGUGAAAUUGUUGAAAGGGAAGCGCUUGCAACCAGACUUGCGGGCGGUCGAUCAUCCGAGGUUCUCCCCGGUGCACUCGAUCGUUCUCAGGCCAGCAUCGGUUUCCGGGGUGGGAUAAAGGCGGUGGGAAUGUGGCUCUUCGGAGUGUUAUAGCCCACCGUGCCAUGCUGCCUCCGGGGACCGAGGACCGCGCUUCGGCUAGGAUGCUGGCGUAAUGGUUGUAAGCGACCCGUCUUGAAACACGGACCAAGGAGUCUAACAUCUAUGCGAGUGUUUGGGUGUCAAACCCAUCCGCGUAAUGAAAGUGAACGGAGGUAAGAGCCCGUUAGGGUGCAUUAUCGACCGAUCCUGAUGUCUUCGGAUGGAUUUGAGUAAGAGCAUAGCUGUUGGGACCCGAAAGAUGGUGAACUAUGCGUGAAUAGGGUGAAGCCAGAGGAAACUCUGGUGGAGGCUCGCAGCGGUUCUGACGUGCAAAUCGAUCGUCAAAUUUGCGUAUAGGGGCGAAAGACUAAUCGAACCAUCUAGUAGCUGGUUCCUGCCGA